rnacentral:rRNA from 1 species
CAGCAGCCGCGGUAAUACGUAGGGGGCGAGCGUUGUCCGGAAUUAUUGGGCGUAAAGCGCGCGCAGGCGGUCUCUUAAGUCUGAUGUGAAAGCCCACGGCUCAACCGUGGAGGGUCAUUGGAAACUGGGGGACUUGAGGGCAGGAGAGGAGAGCGGAAUUCCACGUGUAGCGGUGAAAUGCGUAGAGAUGUGGAGGAACACCAGUGGCGAAGGCGGCUCUCUGGCCUGUACCUGACGCUGAGGCGCGAAAGCGUGGGGAGCAAACAGGAUUAGAUACCCUGGUAGUCCACGCCGUAAACGAUGAGUGCUAAGUGUUAGAGGGGUCACACCCUUUAGUGCUGCAGCUAACGCGAUAAGCACUCCGCCUGGGGAGUACGGCCGCAAGGCUGAAACUCAAAGGAAUUGACGG